GCCCGAGAGCAAAGCGACGGGAGGUGUCCCCUGGCAGGUGUGGACGCACAAAGGCGGCCCUCCUUCACCCAGGCGGUGCAUUCGAGGUCAUCUGACCGGUGCCCCACCCUGGAGACUGGCCUGACUCCGCGGAGGCCCCUGCGUGAUAACACCCUGCGAGUCAGCUGACGGCCGCGUCAGAGCCCCUGCCUCUUUGCACGCUCACGCCUGCCGGAGCCCGGCUCCUGCAGCCUCCUAGCCGCAGUGCAGCAAAGCCGAGGCCGCCAGCUAGGCACAGGGUGCCGUCCUGCUGCCACCACUCAGCAUUCCUUACGCGAGGAGUAUUUACCUUUGGCUUAGCCAGGAGCAGAGAAGCAGUCUGAAUGUGCACGGGGGCUUCUAAGCUGGCAGCGUGAAUCUGCAGCAGAGCGGGUACUGCCGGGAGCCUGGUGGCCAGACUGCCCCUCGUGGAGCGCGGCUGGGUCCCCGGCCCCUGCGGGCGCGGCCUGGGGGCGCGGCUCAGGCUCAGGCCGCGCUGCUAGACCCGCAGGAGUAAAGGCUAGGACAAAGGAGACGAUGCUGGCCGUGGUCCGGCCGGCCGGGGCCCGUGCAAGGCUCGUCCACCCAACCGAAGCCAGGGGACAGUUGAGGCUGGUCACAGGGGCUGCCGCGGGUCCCCCCUCCUCAGUUAGAACACGGUGUCAAGGAGGAAACCAGACUCACUGACCUAAUUCAAUCCCAGUCCUCUCUGGAUGCGGGGACGGCUGCCGAAUAGCAGUGACACAACCAGCCAUCAGUGGAGAAUUACUGUGAGUGCAGCCCGAGACAAGGACAGCCUGAUUCCGGUCAUCUGAUGGCUUCUUCUUAUUUUCCUAACUAAGCGUGCUCGCCAGAGCGCACAGUUGUGUGCAUGAGCCUGCCUUGCGUGCGGUCUGCAUCUGCUCUGGUUGGAAAUCAGGGUGCCAGGCGAGCCCGCCUUCGUGCUGGCUCCUCUCUGCCGCUAGGAAGGGGCACGCAGACAACAAAGAAGGAAGCAGAAAGCAUCACUUUAUCUUCACUCGUGAUGCUGGCGGGACAUAACUUCUUCGCAGUGAUGCCCUCCCGUGUGCCUGUGUGUGCGUGUGUGCGCGCGUGUUUGAAUCCAUCUAAUCGAGGAGCCUCACAGAUACCAUCGUGGAUGUGGCUUUUAAUGAUCUGGAGGAGAGAAAAAAAAAAAAAAAAAAAAGGCAGCCCGUGGAGCCGGCCGCACGUUUAGGUGAUUGCCAAUUCGAAAUACUUUGGUUUGUGAAGCCCGGCCCUGAGGGACCAGCUCGGUAACUGAGAAAGAGAUCGUAGAUAAAGAAAUAAAAAUGACAAGCGUAAUAAUGCAGGCUCUGCGAGAAGGCUGUCAGAGCGUGAGUUCAUGGAUGGCAAUUUCACCAGGCUGAGACUGAAUAAUUCAUAGAUUGAAAUUACCCUGCUUUUCACCUUUCCAUUUAAACCGGCAUGAUCUGAAUCUCUAAUAAAUGUUCGAGAUAAAGUAAAACGCCAAUUUGAAUCUGAAGAGCUUUUAAAACCAGAUGCGGCACCCCGAAUCUUUCGGUAUCUUUCACAAUUAUCCUGUGAGGACCGCACUUCAUCACGAAGCGCCAUUACCAGGGAAAAUGACUGUGAUUACAAUAGCAACAAUAGAAGGCCACCAAACGAUCUCUCAUUUACCUAAUUCGCUAAGACUGACUGUGUGCUGUGAAUGCCCGUUGUGAGUCACCUUGCCUCACACCCGUGGAUCUGCCUCGCGCCGGCACAGAAGCGAGGCGGUGCGUGGAAUAAAUACCCGAACUCUGAGAGCCUAGCAGAGGGCUCUCUCUUGGGUUGCGAUGCGUCUGUGGUUUGUGUUUUUGCGUUCUUCCCCACCCCCCGGUGCUUACACUCCAAGUGCCUGUUUGGGAGAAGUGGUGAGCCUGUGGUGGAUUCGGGGGUGAUGCCUUGACGCGGGAGGGCACAGACUUGUUCAUUUACACACCCCCUUCACUUGAACGUACACCCGCAUGCGUUUACUGGAAGGGAGGAAAGAUUCUGUUUGGGGGGAGUGGCUUAAAAAUGCAGCCCAGAUGAAGGCUAGGUCUUUGUUUCUUCCUCGAAACCCCUGUCUGCUCUCAGGUGAGAGAUCCCUUCAGGAAACUAUAGUCCUGGUGUGAUGUGUUAAAAACCUCUCAGCUCGAAAAGGGGCUCCCGAGACACAUCCACUCAUCAGUCUGUGCAGCUUGUAUUAAAAGCACGUAUUUCCAACUGAGUGAUUAAAUGAAGCUUUCUUUGGCUCUGGCUGUGUCUGCUGGCCCUCCAGUGGAGUCUAACCUAAAGAGGGCUCUUUCUGUCCAUGUCAGGGCAGCUGUGCCCCCGCGAGAAGGAGGCAGGGCUCAGAAAGCCUGGCCGGAGAACGGUUGUCGUGCCGUCAUUCAAGAGGCCCGGCGACCCCCAGAGUUUUACUCUCAGGGGCAUGAAGACAGUGUGUGGGUUCUUGCGGAGUCAAGUGAUUUAAGUUUGAUGAGCUAAGGCAGGGUUUCUGAGGGAUGACGGUCCUCGGGGAGGAAGGUAGGUUUGAAACAUAACCUGUCUAGUAUUGUUGAGUGCUCUGCUUGAGACCCUGAGCUCUGAUAUGCUUCUUAAUCCAUCAUGGUGGCUUUGGCCCUUCCCGUACACCCCCAAAUACCUUUGUCAGAAGGAGGAUGCAGGUGCCUAUCGUGCGUUAACGCUAUCGUGUGUUAGUGCUUGAUGAUCCUGCAAUUUACUGGUUUUGCCACAAGAAACAGGUGGGCAUGAGAAAGACAAGCGAAAAGUUAACCCCUCCCCCCCUACUUCUAACUGCCCGUCACUACGGAGCAUCAACUGUAGUUACAAGGAGUGACUUGAGAUUUAAACACCCAGAAGCACACUCAUAGAAUCCAGCAAACUGCCUUGUGCUUUAAGAUGGAAUGGGUAUCAUAGAUACAGAGAACACAUCGGCGGUUACUAGAGGGGUGGGCAAAAUGGGUGGUGAUGGAUGGCAACUAGACUUUUGGUGGCGAUCACUUUGUAGUUCAUACAGACGUCAAAUUACAAUGUCGUGUACCUGAAACUUACAUAAUGUUAUGUACCAUUUUUUUUUUAUCUUAAUAAAAAACCUAACUAUAUAAA